GUUUCAAAUUUAUUCCAUUUCUCUUCAAAAAAUUUCUGAAAAUAUUUCUCCAAAAAAAUUAUUAGAAAACCAUAAAAAUUUACUAGAAAAAAAAAACGGUCGGAUCGACGGUAAAUUAGCUUGCCCCUCAGAACAACCCCCUGCCAGCAACCUAGCCGCAUGGACGCGCCCCCCCUGCCGGCGCUCAUGCGCCCUUCGCCGUCCGGCCACCAACCUCUCGGUCUCCCCCGAGUCCCGACGAUAUACGCGCGUGCACGCGACACCAGCACAAGCUCCAACCCGCUGAUGACCACUUUCUCCGCACACCUCCGGCGUAAGCAUACGGGCCGUCGCAGCGGUGGCGACGCCGGCGCGCUGCGUCACCCACGGGCGCCUGCCCUACCGCCGUGCCGCCGCCGCUGACGGGGCUGCAGGGCUCUCCGCUCCUCUUCCUGACUGGUAGCUAGUGUCCCUCGCCGCCUCCCGGCGCACCGGUGGGUGGCGCACGGCGUCGUGCGCCGCGGCCAGAGCAUGGUCGGUACUCGAUUUACCGUCCGGGACUCCGGGGUGGACGGUACUUCAUUUACCGUCCACCCCGGGAAGCUAGAUGCCGUCCAAUCUAUAUCCAGCGGGUAAGAUUAAGCAGGGGCACCCCCUAUACGGCGCGAUUGUCUCGCCGCGGAUAAGCAAGCGCGACGGGUGGGCGCGGCGCGCCGUGGUCGGAGACGACAGCCGCCGACAUCCCCAGGGUAGACCGGCGCUUCCGCCGGUGUCGGAAGAACUGCGUCGGAAUCCACUGCUGUCAGGUGCGUGACCUCUGCUCUGUCGGCACGCCGGCACGGCGCUUCACCCCCGCCACCCCUUCGCGCCGCCGUGUGCAACUCUCGAGCAUAGCAAGGCCAACUCAACUAUGGACGCCAGGUACGUAUUCAAGAUGCUGAAAUUCUCAGGAGGCCUACUUGCAUCUCUAAUAUCAUUAUUCAACUCAUCUAGCACUAUGCUACUGUCAACGACAUUUGAGAGUUCAUGUGGAAAUGCUUGGCUAACCCACUGUCUUAAGCUCAACUCACCAACAAACAUUGCAUCAGUCGGCUUUUUCCUUGUGAAGACUUCAAGGAGAACAAUUCCAUAGCUAUAAAUGUCACUGGCACGUGAUGCUUUUCCUGUUGAUCCGAACUCUGUUCAUUCCAUGUCAAAAGAAAACUGGUGAGCUUAAAUAAGAACAGGGAUGUGUGCUGCAUCAUACAUUGCAAGGAAAUUUAUACUUACCAGGUGCCAUGUAUCCUACAGUGCCAGGCAUGCUUGUUAACGUGAUGGAGUUUUCAUCUCCAGCUAGCAGCUUGGAAAUGCCAAAGUCAGAAACAUGUGCAGUCAUGUCCUGAUCCAACAAGAUAUUGCUUGGCUUUAAAUCACAAUGCAGGACAGCUUCAAAGUGCCGGUGGUGGAGAUACUCCAUCGCCAUUGCAACAUCCAGCAUUAUGCCAACCCUUUGAAGGAAACUGAGUUGCCUCCUAUCAUUUGAGUACAACAAAUCCUCCAAACUACCAUGAGACAUAUACUCAAGAAUUAGUGCUCUGAAGUCAAGAUUGGAGCAAGUGCUAAUUAUCUUCACCAAGUUCCGGUGCCGAGCCAUUCUUAGUGCACGGCACUCUGUGUCAAAGCUCUUGGAAGCUAGUUCAUGCUGCAUGCUUAGUACCUUUAUUGCAACCACAGAUCCAUCAUCCAAUUCACCUUUGAAUACUUUCCCAAAGCUUCCAGCCCCUAGCAAGUUAUCAUCAGUGAAGUUGCUGGUUGCACGGACAAGUUCGUGGUGUGAGAUCAACUGAUAGUUCAGCAAGUCUUUGUCUGAGGGUACUGUCGUCUUUCUUCGUAUAUUCACUUUCACUCUUACCAUCAUAUACAGGCACACAGCUAAAACAAAAAAUGCCAGAACUGCAGGUGGGGAAGGCCACAGAGGGCAUUGUUCCCCAUCAAUGAUGGGAGGGUGAUAUUUGAGAACACCCCUCCUUCUGGUAUCUGUCCACUCAGGCUGUUGAAAGAAAGGUUCAAGUUUGCAAGGUGGGUGAGAUUGGUCAAGG